UCUCUGUUUAUUCCCGAACUCUCCCCUCUGUUGCUUUCAACUUCCUUCCCCACGUUCUGCAGUUUCUUUUUCUUCUUCCGGUUCCUAAUGUGAAGAUUUCAUUUGCCAUCUAUAAUUUCUUACCCAUAUACCGAUUCAUCCUCACUUUGAUUCUCUCCCUCUUACUCAUUCUCUGGUUUUGUCUUGCGGGAGCAGUGUCUUUGUUUCUCUCCUUGUGUUUGUAGUAGCUGGUUGCUGCGGAUCGGGUCACACGACGUUGGUCGUGGGUCUUUGGGUUUCUGGUAUCACUGCCGAGCCGCGCAUCAGAAGUGUUAGUCUGGGUGGUGUUACUACUAGAGUUUCGACUCAAGGUGUUGAUAAUACGAAGAAGUCAG